GACGAACGCUGGCGGCGUGCUUAACACAUGCAAGUCGAACGAGAAGAGAUGAGAAGCUUGCUUCUUAUUGAUUCGAGUGGCAAACGGGUGAGUAACGCGUAAGCAACCUGCCCUUCAGAUGGGGACAACAGCUGGAAACGGCUGCUAAUACCGAAUACGUUCUUUUUGCGCAUGGCAGAGGGAAGAAAGGGAGGCUCUUCGGAGCUUUCGCUGAAGGAGGGGCUUGCGUCUGAUUAGCUAGUUGGAGGGGUUAACGGCCCACCAAGGCGACGAUCAGUAGCCGGUCUGAGAGGAUGAACGGCCACAUUGGGACUGAGACACGGCCCAGACUCCUACGGGAGGCAGCAGUGGGAAUCUUCCGCAAUGGACGAAAGUCUGACGGAGCAACGCCGCGUGAACGAUGACGG
rnacentral:rRNA from 1 species